rnacentral:rRNA from 1 species
CCCUUAGAUGUUCUGGGCCGCACGCGCGCUACACUGAUGCAUUCAACGAGCCUAGCCUUGACCGAGAGGUCCGGGUAAUCUUUGAAACUGCAUCGUGAUGGGGCUAGAUUAUUGCAAUUAUUAAUCUUCAACGGGGAAUGCCUAGUAAGCGUGAUUCAUCAAAUCGCGUUGAUUACGUCCCUGCCCUUUGUACACACCGCCCGUCGCUCCUACCGAUUGAGUGUGUUGGUGAGGAGUUUGGAUUGGCCUCGGAAGGUGGUUCGCCACCGUCCGUAGCUGAGAAGUUCUCCAAACCGCCCCACUUAGAGGAAGGAGAAGUCGUAACA